GUAGGAAACAAUCCCUGAGCAAGUGAAGUUAUAUCUAUCAUUAUUGUCACUUCAAAUACUUCAGAUGUCUUGCCAGUAAAAAACCCCUUCAAGGUACCAGCAUAGCACCUGAAAACCACGAGUGAGACAAGCAAAGAAGGAUAUGAGCAGAUGGGAAGGGACUGGAGAGUUAGACAUGGAAAUCAGCAGGAUUUCCCCGGGGAGUAAACAAGAGCCUUCCAGGAAAUGUUCUGCAGCUUGGGGGACACGUCAUGGCUGAACAGGACUUCAGAGAGCAGCUGAUAAAGAAAGAAGACCAGCAUAUUAGGGACAGUGAGAAUUUGGUACUUCAGUAAGAAGGGCCAUGCAGGUGUUUCAGAAAGAUGUGAUAUCUGUGUCCUGGGCAUUCAUAUCAACAUUAACAUGUACAUCAAUAAAUUCAUGGCUGCUUAUCGUUUGA